GAUGAACGCUAGCGGCAGGCUUAACACAUGCAAGUCGAGGGGUAACAGGGUGCUUGCACCGCUGACGACCGGCGCACGGGUGCGUAACGCGUAUAGAACCUACCUUUUACAGGAGAAUACCCCAGAGAAAUUUGGAAUAAUGCUCCAUAGUAUUAUUGAAUGGCAUCAUUUGAUAAUUAAACAUUUAUGGGUAAAAGAUGGCUAUGCGUUCUAUUAGCUAGAUGGUAAGGUAACGGCUUACCAUGGCAACGAUAGAUAGGGGUCCUGAGAGGGAGAUCCCCCACACUGGUACUGAGACACGGACCAGACUCCUACGGGAGGCAGCAGUGAGGAAUAUUGGACAAUGGAGGCAACUCUGAUCCAGCCAUGCCGCGUGCAGGAAGACGGUCCUAUGGAUUGUAAACUGCUUUUAUACAGGAAGAAACACUCCCUCGUGAGGGAGCUUGACGGUACUGUAUGAAUAAGCACCGGCUAACUCCGUGCCAGCAGCCGCGGUAAUACGGAGGGUGCAAGCGUUAUCCGGAAUCAUUGGGUUUAAAGGGUCCGUAGGCGGGCUAAUAAGUCAGGGGUGAAAUCCAACAGCUUAACUGUUGAAUUGCCUUUGAUACUGUUAGUCUUGAGUUAUAUGGAAGUAGAUAGAAUGUGUAGUGUAGCGGUGAAAUGCUUAGAGAUUACACAGAAUACCGAUUGCGAAGGCAGUCUACUAC
rnacentral:rRNA from 1 species